GUACUAAAUUUGUGACACAAUUGCUUUGUUAUCUUUAGACGUUGAUAGAAAGAUGGCGUCUGUCCAAACUGCUUUGACAUCACUCCUAUGCAAGAAAGGGAACAAUCAUCCACAAGUAAAUGUUCCAAGAAGUUCCUUCUUGCCAGGGUUCGAUUUGACGGGGCAAGUUGCUGUUACGAGGAGAAGGGAGACGCGUUUCAAUGCUUUUUCAAGCCCGAGAGCAACACUAACCUUUGAUCCUCCCAGUACUGAUAAUAAAGAGAAGACAAAACCAAAGCACACUGUUGAUCCUAAUGCUCCUGAUUUCCUGCCACUUCCAGCAUUCGAACAAUGCUUUCCGAAAAGCUCCAAGGAAUACAGUGAAGUUAUGCAUGAAGAAACUGGUCAAGUGCUCAAAGUUCCAUUUCGACGUAUCCAUCUUUCCGGGGAUGAACCACAUUUUGACACUUAUGAUACCAGUGGUCCUCAGGGUGUAAACCCGCGUGUUGGACUUCCCAAGCUGCGCACAGAGUGGAUUAACAGGAGGGAGAAGUUAGGAGGACCAAGGUAUACUCAAAUGUUCUAUGCUAAGCAGGGAAUCAUAACUGAGGAAAUGGCAUACUGUGCUGCUCGUGAAAAAAUGGAUCCGGAAUUUGUGAGGUCAGAAGUUGCUCGAGGCCGUGCAAUCAUCCCUUCAAACAAGAAGCACCCUGAGUUGGAGCCAAUGAUAGUAGGAAGAAAGUUCUUAGUGAAAGUCAAUGCCAACAUCGGAAACUCUGCUGUUGUAAGCUCGAUUGAAGAAGAAGUUCACAAGCUUCAAUGGGCAACAAUGUGGGGUGCAGAUACGAUUAUGGAUCUCUCUACUGGUCGUCACAUCCACGAGACUCGUGAGUGGAUCUUGCGUAAUUCUGCUGUACCAGUAGGCACUGUGCCAAUUUACCAAGCACUAGAAAAAGUAAACGGCAUUGCUGAGAAUCUGAGUUGGGAAGUUUUCAGAGAGACCUUAAUUGAACAAGCUGAGCAAGGUGUUGAUUACUUCACAAUCCAUGCCGGAGUCCUUCUUAGGUACAUCCCACUGACAGCAAAACGGAUGACCGGAAUUGUUUCUCGUGGAGGCUCAAUUCAUGCAAAGUGGUGCUUAGCUUAUCACAAGGAGAAUUUCGCUUAUGAACAUUGGGAUGACAUACUUGACAUCUGUAAUCAGUACGAUAUAUCGUUAUCAAUUGGUGAUGGACUGAGACCUGGUUCAAUUUAUGAUGCAAAUGAUACAGCUCAGUUUGCUGAGCUCUUGACUCAAGGGGAGCUGACUCGCCGAGCUUGGGAAAAGGAUGUACAGGUUAUGAAUGAAGGGCCUGGACACGUACCAAUGCAUAAGAUUCCCGAGAACAUGCAAAAACAGCUAGAGUGGUGCAAUGAAGCACCAUUUUACACUCUUGGACCAUUGACAACUGAUAUAGCUCCCGGAUAUGAUCAUAUCACCUCAGCCAUCGGUGCAGCAAAUAUAGGAGCACUCGGGACUGCACUUCUGUGUUACGUCACUCCAAAAGAGCAUCUUGGUCUGCCUAAUCGCGAUGAUGUGAAGACAGGGGUAAUAUCAUACAAGAUAGCUGCUCAUGCAGCUGAUCUUGCAAAAGGUCACCCGCUAUCUCAAGCUUGGGAUGAUGCACUUAGCAAGGCAAGAUUUGAGUUCAGAUGGAUGGACCAAUUCGCUUUGUCAUUGGACCCCGUUACUGCAAUGUCCUUUCACGAUGAAACUUUACCAGCCGAUGGGGCUAAAGUGGCACAUUUCUGCUCAAUGUGCGGGCCUAAGUUUUGCUCUAUGAAAAUAACUGAAGAUAUAAGGAAGUAUGCUGAAAAUCAUGGUUAUGGAAAUGCAGAGGAAGCCAUUCAGCAGGGCAUGGAUGCUAUGAGUGCAGCAUUUCAAGCUGCUAAAAAAACCAUUAGUGGGGAACAACACGGUGAGGUUGGCGGUGAGAUCUACUUGCCAGAAAAUUACAUCAACUCUUUGAAGAGCCAAAGGAAUAUAUAAAGCUCGAAAACUGGCUCAGAGAUUUCUGAAGUGAUCACAGCUCCAUCGGCCAGUCCAGGAGGCGGUAGUAGGAGCCUCAUUAUCAAGUGUUAGCUUCAAAUGCUGACUGAUCAGGCUGAGAAAGUCCCUUUGAACCUGAACGGGAUAAUUCCUGCGUAGGGAGUGUGCAAUUUUCUUUUCUUGCUUGCACAGGGAUGGAGAUUCUCCGAAAUGGUUGAAAAUUCAAAAUUAAGCUGAUCCUGCUCUUUGCCAGGACCAGUUUAUUCACCAUC